CCCCCCCCCCACACAUAGAGAUGUAAUUUUAAAAAUCUCAUCAACACAAAAUAUUUUUAUUUUUUAUUUUUGCUAUUCAAACUAAGACUGUCUUUCGGUUGUUCCCUUUUCACUUGUAAAUAUGCAACAUGUAGACCAUAUAUAUGUGUUAGCAUUGCAGAGUUUAAACAAAUGCGCAUGUUUUCAUGCCAAUCUUUCCAUUGCUUCCUCUUCUUUAAAAUGUUA